UCCUACGGGGGGCAGCAGUGGGGAAUAUUGCACAAUGGGGGGAACCCUGAUGCAGCAACGCCGCGUGAGUGAAGAAGUACCUCGGUAUGUAAAGUUCUAUCAGCAGGGAAGAAAAUGACGGUACCUGACUAAGAAGCACCGGCUAAAUACGUGCCAGCAGCCGCGGUAAUACGUAUGGUGCAAGCGUUAUCCGGAUUUACUGGGUGUAAAGGGUGCGCAGGCGGAGGUGCAAGUCAGCGGUCAAAUUGCGGGGCUCAACCCCGUACUGCCGUUGAAACUGCAUCCCUUGAGUGCGCGAGAAGUAU
rnacentral:rRNA from 1 species